AAGAUGAAUGCAGAGUCUGGCCUGGUGCAGUGGCUCAUGCCUGUAUUCCCAGCACUUUGGCAGGCGGAGGCAGGCGGAUCACGAGGUCAGGAGAUUGAGACCAUCCUGGCUAACACGGUGAAACCUCGUCUCUACUAAAAACACAAAAAAAUAGCCGGGCGUGGUGGCAGGCGCCUGAGAGAACUGAGUUCAGGAGAGAAGGAUGUCCUGUUUCAUAUGGUGAGUGAAAAUAUAAACAGUAUGAGGUGGUAGUGUGUAGACAAAAUUAUCAGGAUUUUUUUUUUUUAAGAGUAGCACAUAGUUUCCAACACCUAUAAGGUGGUGGAGUUAGGAGCAAUAUUUUGCGGGCAAGGGGUGGAUCUCACAAAGUACAUUCUCAAGGGUGGGGAGAAGUAGGAACUAUAUGAAAGGAGGUUAAAAAGAUUUUUGUUCUUUUCCUUUGAAUAUUUCUGUUCUUCAGUUGAAGAAAUGUUGUAUGACUGUAUGGAUAAGGAUUAAUAGAGUUGUUUUUAAAAAGGGUCUAAAAAGCAUUUACAGACUGAACAUAUACCUGUGUGUAUAUAUACCGAGAUUUUAUGUAAAAUAUUUAAAUGUAUGUAUACUCAUAGGAAAUGUCUAGAAGGAUGUUAAGCAAAUUGUUACUAAUUAUGUCCAGGUGGUGAGAAUUUUAGGUGAUUAAAAAAAAUGAUUGGACUUUUUAUAUCACUUGAAUUAUUCCUUUCAAUGAACACAUCUUUGCCAAAGAAAAGAAAAAAGUUUUUUUUGUUAUGUAGAAGUUUG
rnacentral:lncRNA from 1 species